ensembl:lncRNA
AUGUCUGGAAAUGCAUCGCUUGCGAAUGUCGUGAAUCAUUUCCGUUAUGGAUGUGAUAUUUGUGGAAAGCAACCGAACAGUUUGAAAGUGAGAAGAUGUGAAGAGCCUUUUACAAGCGUAUUUUCUACAACAAAAGGGAAUCGAUGGUGCAUUACUGACAGGAGACUGCUGGCAGAAGACGCAUUCCUUCAGUAGAGGCAGCUGUAGUGGAUGCAGCGGAAAGGAGCGAUGGUCGAAUCAGUGACAACCGCAGUGGGGCCACACUGAGGAAAGAUCAAGUUAUACCCUACACCCAGGGAUCGAGAUAGAUUUGAGGGUCUGGAAACGGAGAAAAGGAAGGAAAGCGACGCCUUUGGGAGGGCAGUUGGAUGUCUACUCAAUUAAAUUAACUCCUGCGGAG